rnacentral:rRNA from 1 species
AUGGCUAAGGAUGGUCAACCACUGAUAAUGCAACCCCCACCGACAGGCCACAUAACACAAAUUGCUGGUGGGUGGCGGCGGUUUCAGAUUUGGUUGUUUGUAGUGACUCCAAUAGACUUAUUUAUCAUAUUCCUUUAUGUGGUGUUCUUUGCCCAAAGUUUAUUGGGCAUCUGUCAUGUCCCGGUCUUUAUGGUAGUUUGCGCAUUAAAAAAAACACAAACCAUCCAGCAGUGGAGCACCCGUCGAGGGGCCUUUGGGCAACAUGCAAAUGACGAGUCGUUUGUAUGCCCGUUAAUGAAAAUUGCUACCGCCGUCCUCGACUUCAACCCCACUCAUGGAGGGGAAGCGUGGACGGCGCGAUCACCACCCCGCAUUCCGGUGGCGUCGGCUAACAGCCGUCCCGACGCGCGCUGUCAGCGCUCCCGCUUCCUUGCGUCCCGCGCCAUGACCAAGCUCGACCGCCGCACUGCUUUACCGGGCACGCACGCGUCCACCAUGCGCUGGCCGACGUCGCCCUCCUUGCCUGCGGUGGCGGCGAAGCGGGCGGCGGUGGUUCUGGCGCUGGUGCUGGCGAUAGCUGUCUGCCGUGCGCGCGGCGUGGAAGGCGCCCGCGUGCCGCGACUGCCGAUGGACAUGAGCUCCGGCGGCGGCAAUAACGCGGGCGUGGAGAUGCGGUGGCAGGCCGGAGGCGGGGCCUCCCCGGAGGACGAGGACUACGGUAUCGAUGUAGGUCUGUACUGGCGCAAGUGGGCAACCCAACAAAGCCCACAAACGCCGGCGGCCGGCCAUAUUGCAAAUGUGUUCGUCUCCUUUCACGUCGCAGCCGACGACGCCACAGCGCAGAGCGCGUGCCGCAAAUUGGACGGCCACCCGCUGCGCGGCCGCGGGCUGCUGGUCGACCUCGCAGAGAGGGCAGCCGGGGCGACCACGAGCCCGUCGGGAGGACGUUGUCACGCCAUCCCCGCCGGACGCAGCCUACCUCGUCGACCACACCUGGCGCGCGCCCCGCCGUCGUGUCCUCCGUCAUGCCGCAACUGGCGGGCGCGUCUAGCCACCCGCCGCGGCCACGUUCGCGAGCUAGGCCCCGAGAGCCUGCUCAAGCAGCAGGUCCCAGAACUCUACUGUAAAUCUGUAAUCAACUCGAACUGUGUUGUUGAAAACCUUGCUAGUAGUUCCUGUUGA